ensembl:snRNA U6 U6 spliceosomal RNA
GUUCGCUUCAGCAGCAACAUAUGCUAAAACUGGAACAAUACAGAGAAAAUUAGCAUGGUCCCUGUGCAAGAAUGACGUGCAAUGCAAUGCCUAUCAAAACACCAGCAGUAUUUUU